CUUGGUCAUUUAGAGGAAGUAAAAGUCGUAACAAGGUCUCCGUAGGUGAACCUGCGGAGGGAUCAUUACAAGUGACCCCGGCCUAACCACCGGGAUGUUCAUAACCCUUUGUUGUCCGACUCUGUUGCCUCCGGGGCGACCCUGCCUUCGGGCGGGGGCUCCGGGUGGACACUUCAAACUCUUGCGUAACUUUGCAGUCUGAGUAAACUUAAUUAAUAAAUUAAAACUUUUAACAACGGAUCUCUUGGUUCUGGCAUCGAUGAAGAACGCAGCGAAAUGCGAUAAGUAAUGUGAAUUGCAGAAUUCAGUGAAUCAUCGAAUCUUUGAACGCACAUUGCGCCCCCUGGUAUUCCGGGGGGCAUGCCUGUUCGAGCGUCAUUUCACCACUCAAGCCUCGCUUGGUAUUGGGCAACGCGGUCCGCCGCGUGCCUCAAAUCGACCGGCUGGGUCUUCUGUCCCCUAAGCGUUGUGGAAACUAUUCGCUAAAGGGUGUUCGGGAGGCUACGCCGUAAAACAACCCCAUUUCUAAGGUUGACCUCGGAUCAGGUAGGGAUACCCGCUGAACUUAAGCAUAUCAAUAAGCGGAGGA
rnacentral:rRNA from 1 species